AAUGAACGUUGGCGGCAUGGAUUAGGCAUGCAAGUCGAGCGAGAAGAGUUUUGAAGCUUGCUUUAGAACUCGGACAGCGGCGAAAGGGAGAGUAACGCGUAGUUAUGUGCCCUAGGGUCCGGAAUAGCCACGGGAAACUGUGGGUAAUGCCGGAUAAUAUCCCCGGAUCAAAGGUGUGAUUCCGCCCUAGGAGCAGACUGCGUCCUACUAGCUAGUUGGUGGGGUAAUGGCCUACCAAGGCAACGAUGGGUAGCGGGUGUGAGAGCAUGACCCGGCUCACGGGGACUGAGACACUGCCCAGACCCCUACGGGUGGCUGCAGUCGAGAAUCUUCGGCAAUGGGCGAAAGCCUGACCGGGCGAUGCCGCGUGCGGGAUGAAGGCCCUCGGGUUGUAAACCGCUGUCGUAGGGGAGGAAGGUUCCGUGAAGAGCGGAAUUUGACCUAUCCUAGGAGGAAGUACGGGCUAAGUUCGUGCCAGCCGCCGCCGUAA
rnacentral:rRNA from 1 species